AUUGAACGCUGGCGGCAGGCCUAACACAUGCAAGUCGAACGAGUGGCGGACGGGUGAGUAAUGUCUGGGCAACUGCCUGAUGGAGGGGGAUAACUACUGGAAACGGUAGCUAAUACCGCAUACCAUCGGUUGUGCCCAGAUGGGAUUAGCUAGUAGGUGGGGUAAAGGCUCACCUAGGCGACGAUCCCGAGCUGGUCUGAGAGGUUGACCGGCAAAACUGGAACUGAGACACGGUCCAGACUCCAACGGAAGGCGGCGGAGGGGAGUAUUGGAAAAGGGGGGAAAGCCUAAAGCAGCAAGGCGGGGUGGAGAAAGAGGGCCUUCGGGUUGUAAAGUACUUUCAGAGGGAAGACGUUACCCACAGAAGAAGCACCGGCUAACUCCGUGCCAGCAGCCGCGGUAAUUC
rnacentral:rRNA from 1 species